rnacentral:tRNA from 3 species
GGCGAGGUACCCAAGUGGCUAAGGGAGAGGUCUGCAAAACCUUUAUUCAGGGGUUCGAAUCCCCUCCUCGCCUCCA